rnacentral:rRNA from 1 species
GUUAAAAAGCUCGUAGUUGGAUUUCGGAACCGGCCGAUUGGUCCGUCCUCUGGAUCGUGUACUGAUCGGUCUGUUCUUCUUCGCGAAGACCGCGUGUGCUCUUAACUGAGUGGGCGUGGGAUUCGCGACGUUUACUUUGAAAAAAUUAGAGUGUUCAAAGCAGGCAGUCGCUUGAAUAUCUCAGCAUGGAAUAAUAGAAUAGGACUUUGGUCUUAUUUUGUUGGUUUCCGAGACCGAAGUAAUGAUUAAUAGGGACAGUUGGGGGCAUUCGUAUUUCAUUGUCAGAGGUGUAAUUCUUGGAUUUAUGAAAGACGAACUUCUGCGAAAGCAUUUGCCAAGGAUGUUUUCAUUAAUCAAGAACGAAAGUUGGAGGCUCGAAGACGAUCAGAUACUGUCCUAGUUCCAACCAUAAACGAUGCCGUCUGCGGAUCGGAGGUCGCUCAUGUAAGGCUCCUUCGGCACGCUAUGAGAAAUCAAAGACUUCGGGUUCCGGGGGGAGUAUGUUCGCAAGAAUGAAACUUAAAGGAAUUGACGGAAGGGCACCACCAGGAGUGGAACCUGCGGUUUAAUUUGACUCAACACGGGAAAACUCACCAGGUCCAGACAUAGGAAGGAUUGACAGAUUGAGAGCUCUUUCUUGAUUCUAU